rnacentral:rRNA from 1 species
UGCCAGACUCCUACGGGAGGCAGCAGUGGGGAAUAUUGCACAAUGGGCGAAAGCCUGAUGCAGCAACGCCGCGUGAAGGAAGAAGGGUUUCGGCUCGUAAACUUCUAUCAACAGGGACGAAAGAAAUGACGGUACCUGAAUAAGAAGCCCCGGCUAACUACGUGCCAGCAGCCGCGGUAAUACGUAGGGAGCGAGCGUUGUCCGGAAUUACUGGGUGUAAAGGGAGCGUAGGCGGGAUUGCAAGUUGGAUGUGAAAACUGCGGGCUCAACCCGGAGCGUGCAUUCAAAACUGCGAUUCUUGAGUGAAGUAGAGGCAAGCGGAAUUCCUAGUGUAGCGGUGAAAUGCGUAGAUAUUAGGAGGAACACCAGUGGCGAAGGCGGCUUGCUGGGCUUUUACUGACGCUGAGGCUCGAAAGUGUGGGGAGCAAACAGGAUUAGAUACCCGAGUAAC